AACGAACGCUGGCGGCAUGCCUAACACAUGCAAGUCGAACGAGACCUUCGGGUCUAGUGGCGCACGGGUGCGUAACGCGUGGGAACCUGCCCUUAGGUUCGGAAUAACUCCCCGAAAGGGGUGCUAAUACCGGAUAAUGUCUUCGGACCAAAGAUUUAUCGCCUUUGGAUGGGCCCGCGUUGGAUUAGCUAGUUGGUAGGGUAAAAGCAUACCAAGGCGACGAUCCAUAGCUGGUCUGAGAGGAUGAUCAGCCAGACUGGGACUGAGACACGGCCCAGACACCUACGGGAGGAAGCAGUGGGGAAUAUUGGAGAAGGGGCGAAAGCGUGAUCCAGCAAUGCCGGGUGAGUGAUGAAGGCCUUAGGGUUGUAAAGCUAUUUUACCCGGGAUGAUAAUGACAGUAACGGGAGAAUAAGCGCCGGCUAACUCCGUG
rnacentral:rRNA from 1 species